rnacentral:rRNA from 1 species
GAUGAACGCUGGCGGCGUGCUUAACACAUGCAAGUCGAACGGAAAGGCUCCUGCUUGCAGGGGUACUCGAGUGGCGAACGGGUGAGUAACACGUGGGUGAUCUGCCCUGCACUUCGGGAUAAGCCUGGGAAACUGGGUCUAAUACCGGAUAGGACGAUGGUCUGGAUGCCAUUGUGGAAAGUUUUUUCGGUGUGGGAUGAGCUCGCGGCCUAUCAGCUUGUUGGUGGGGUAAUGGCCUACCAAGGCGUCGACGGGUAGCCGGCCUGAGAGGGUGUACGGCCACAUUGGGACUGAGAUACGGCCCAGACUCCUACGGGAGGCAGCAGUGGGGAAUAUUGCACAAUGGGCGCAAGCCUGAUGCAGCGACGCCGCGUGGGGGAUGACGGCCUUCGGGUUGUAAACUCCUUUCGCUAGGGACGAAGCGCAAGUGACGGUACCUGGAGAAGAAGCACCGGCUAACUACGUG